CAGCUUGCUAGAGGAAGGUGGCAUAUUGUUUGAAUUUUGUGGGGCAAAUAAUAAAGAUGGCCUCAAAUCUGUGAUGAAAAUUCACUCUCCUUUGUAUUAUUGGAAGGUUGCCAUAGAGGCUGAUCUAGGGCUUGCUGUUGCAUAUAUAAGUGGUUAUAUAUCUUUUAUGGACAAAGGAGAAGGCCUUCUAAACCUUUUUUUGAUACUCAUUGAUGGUAGGAAUAAACGUAACAUUUCUAUAAAUUGCAUGAAUCAAGGG